CGCGCAGGCGGCUCGUUAAGUCCAAGGUGAAAUCCCACGGCUCAACUGUGGGGGGACCCUGGAUACUGGCGGGCUGGAGUGCGGGAGAGGGAAGCGGAAUUCCACGUGUAACGGUGAAAUGUAUAGAUAUGUGGAGGAACACCGGUGGCGAAGGCGGCUUCCUGGACCGUAACUGACGCUGAGGCGCGAAAGCUGGGGGAGCGAACA
rnacentral:rRNA from 1 species